CCGGACUCUCACUUGGGAGAGCAUCUCGGAACGUGGGCCCUCACGUGAUGUCACCAGUUGUGAUCCUUGACAUGGAGGCCAUAUAUGGGACAAACUUCUCAUAUCAAGAGAGCUGGGGAAGCUCGGCCUUCAAACCUUCCUGUCUCAUUCCUGAAC